GCCAGCUUAGCUCAGUUGGUAGAGCAACGCACUCGUAACGCGUAGGUCGUAGGUUCGAACCCUAUAGCUGGCA
rnacentral:tRNA from 10 species